rnacentral:rRNA from 1 species
UACGUAGGGAGCAAGCGUUGUCCGGAAUCACUGGGCGUAAAGCGCGCGCAGGCGGCCCUUUAAGUCUGACGGUGAAAUGCCGGGGCUCAACCCCGUGCCCGCCGCGGAUACUGGAGGGCUGGAGACACGUAGAGGCAAGCGGAAUUCCGGGUGUAGCGGUGGAAUGCGUAGAGAUCCGGAAGAACACCGGAGGCGAAGGCGGCUUGCUGGGCGUAGUCUGACGCUGAGGCGCGAAAGCGUGGGGAGCGAACAGG